GUCCGAGGUUUGUUCUUGAUUUGUAUUAUUUAGCUUGUCUGUGUGGUGAAGGUGAUUCUGGAUCUUCCUCGUUCUCAUGUCUUUGCAGACGUGGCAACUUGUGACAGCUGUUCUGACUGAGAAAAAUGGGAGAGCCAUGCAUAUAGAUCAGAUUAUGGAAGAAAUACAGAGACGAACUAAUGUCAGUAUCAAAGCAAAAGAGCAUCAUGGGGAACGUGCAUUAGACUCCGUCUUAACAGAUUGUGAUCUGUGACAUCUUUAGGCCGAUCGAACUCGCCUCCACUCACUCGCAGAUUUCUCUGGAGUGACCCAUCAGAUCUCCACUGAAUUUAACUGCGUGUUUCUGACAUCGGACGGUAUGCAUGAACGUGUCUUUUAUUGCCGGGACGCCGAAACAAUAUGGCAAGAUACUUUUUGCAUAUAUCCAGGUCUUUAAAUUUUAAUUUGUGCGGGUCUUUCAAUAUAUUAAAUAAUGCAAUCAGCCCGGCUAAAGAACGGGAUCUGUAGCGGCAUAUCAUAUAUUUUACUUUGAGAUAACUGCUGUCAGAACGGGAUAUUGAAUGGGAUAUAACUCUGAACAAAAUUCUUCAUGAGAAGUCUGUCCGGCUGCUAAUUAAUUCUGCAGAACAGAGUAAAAUACAUGUGAAACGAGAAAGACUUAAUGAUAAAUUGUCAGAAUGGGAUACUCAUGCAACAACAUAAAUUUGCAUACAAUGUUAAAUAAAUUAAUAACUUUAUGAGAAUUCUGUCUGUGGCUGCUAAUUCUGUGAAGGAGAUAUACUUCAUGAAUGAGCUAUACUUCA